rnacentral:tRNA from 1 species
GCGGCAGUAGCUCAGUGGUAGAACCCCCGCUUCGAGUGUCGGGAGACCCGGGUUCGAUUCUCGGUUGCUUCC